rnacentral:rRNA from 1 species
AUUGAACGCUGGCGGCAGGCUUAACACAUGCAAGUCGAGCGGGGUGAUGGUGCUUGCACUAUCACUUAGCGGCGGACGGGUGAGUAAUGCUUAGGAAUCUGCCUAUUAGUGGGGGACAACAUCUCGAAAGGGAUGCUAAUACCGCAUACGUCCUACGGGAGACAGCAGGGGAUCACUUGUGACUGUGCGCAAAUAGAUGAACCGAAGUCGGAUUAGCUAGUUGGGGGGGUAAAGGCCUACCAAGGCGACGAUGUGUGGCGGGUCUGAGAGGAUAAUCCGCCACACUGUGACUGAGACACGGCCCAGACUCCUACGGGAGGAAGCAGUGUGGAAUUUUGGACAAUGGGCGAAAUCCUGAUCCAGCCAUUCCGGGUGCAGGAUGAAGGCCCUCGGGUUGUAAACUGCUUUUGUACAGAACGAAAAGGUUUCUGCUAAUACUAGGAGCUCAUGACGGUACUGUAAGAAUAAGCACCGGCUAACUACGUGCCAGCAGCCGCCGUAAUAC